rnacentral:lncRNA from 1 species
AGUACCCCCUAGUGGCUGGAAUACAAGUGUAUUAAGCCCCUUACAACACCCCCCUGCAAAAACGAAAUGUUGUCCCAAACAUUUCACUGGCCUCAAAACAAACAGAAGAUGUAAGUACUGGUCAUGAGAACAACGGAGAAACUGGCCUAACAGCCAUAUAACUAUCUAGACAUGUCCAGUCUGCCUUAUGGGCGAAAACGCAACCCCCACUAAACAUUAUCACACUGUGAUUAGUAAAGGUAAACAAGAAAAUAUAUACACAUCAGAACAUCUCUAGUUGGUAUCCUGAUAAGAGCUUGGCAGCCCUAAAGUGUUAUAGGUUAGAAUGUCUCUGGGCCUCCUCUGCCGGUGUGAACGGCGGGGCAAGGUCAAGGUCAUCAGUGUCCACUUCAUCAUGAGAUGAUUGAGUCUCUGAGCCCUCAGCUGUUUUCAUAUUUACCCCUGUCCUCUCCGGGCUCUCUCUGAGGACUGGCUGGCACUCCUUCACAGUGAAGUUUCUAUCAGUCUGACGCCGUUCCGUUCACAAAGACACAGAGGAGGAGGAACUAUCCAACACCCAGAGAGAGAGAACGAGUGACCUCAGUUGAACACAGUCAGAAAGAGGAGGUGGAAGAGGCGUUAGAUAGAGGAGGAGGUUACCCCAGAGGCCAUUCCUCCUGUUCAUGUGAGCAAGAAAGAGCAGAAGGCUUCUGAUCAGCCAAAUGGCAGGCAGAUGGAGAGGUCAUAGUGAUUCACACCCCCAGAGAGAAAGACAACCCACACAACCUCUUGGUUGAGAUGAACCACACAGAGGUAGAGGCAGAGGGCCUUCAGGGCUAGCCAGUCAGCCUGCCUGCUCUGAACCUCAAGUCAAUUGUAUUUAAAUUCAUGUUCAUUAAAGAUUUUUAUUCAAGAAUUAAAAAGUCCCAUUUACUUAAUGAUCAUUUUUCACUGUCUUCAACCUCAAGAACCAGGGUGAGUCUGGGUAACCCUUUUACUGGGCAAACACAACUUCGAUAUCGUCAUAGACUAGGCCGAAACGUUAAUCUUUUAACCUUGCCUGAAUAAAACAAUGCAUUUUUUUAUAGUGAGCAAGAGUAGUGCUUUUUCCUUUUCAAUGAUGAUUCAAAUUUUUGGUUGCACCGAAACUCAACGUUGGUUGAGCGCCCUGCGUUUUUUUGUUGUCAAUUUUUUUUUUUAAUGUACAAAGUAAAUUAUUAAAAGCAUUAAAAUUGGGAUGUUUCCCACUUAUUUACACAACCUACUCCACACUUGCAAAGUGAAAGUUUAUAGAAAAGUUCUGAAAUUAAGUAGUAAACAGAAGAAAAGCAGAAUUGAGUCCAAUUAUAAUGCGAAUAAUUUAAUGGUCUAUGGUUCAAUCCCAUUUCUGAAUGUCUGAUGAAUAAUUAAUAUUGUUCCUCCUCUUCCUUGUAGCAGGCGCAGCAGCACACUGCCCUCCAAAGCCUGCAAAAUAAUCGCCGGACUGCCCCUUUCCUAGCUCUACAUGGAACAUCCAGUGUCACGUCCUUGGUUACGUGUGGGGUGACAUCCGGGAUGACCACAGCAACAUCCUCUGGAAAGGGAAAAAAGAGGAACAGAAUGUAAACAAAUGCAAACCGUAGGUUCUAAACACUGGCCAGUUGAAAGGUUCUACUAAGAUGUCAUGACAAACGGCACCUGUCAGAGUGCUCUCUAAGUGUUACUCACCUGCUUGGAUGUCAGCUGGCAGAGUGGUGAAGACGGCCAUCGUGAGAGUCCUUUCUUCAGGUGUGACGUCCACAACCUCCAAGAGGGAAGAGAUGGGCUCUGCCUCUGUAUUAGUGGGGAUGUCCACAAUAUUUAGGUGGAAAGAAGCCGGCUCUGCCUCUGUGUUAGGGGUUAUGUCCACAACAUUCAGGUGGGAAGAAGCCGGGCCUGCCUCUGUUUUUGGGGUGAUGUCUUGAACCUCCAGGUGGGAAGAACCCGGAUCUGCCUCUGUAUUAGGGGUGAUGUCCACAACAUUCAGGUGGGAAGAAGCCGGAUCUGCCUCUGUAUUAAGGGUUAUGUCCACAACAUUCAGGUGGAGAGAAGCCGGAUCUGCCUCUGUAUUAAGGGUUAUGUCCACAACAUUCAGGUGGAGAUAAGCCGGGUCUUCCUCUGUGUUAGGGGUGAUGUUCACAACCUCCAGGUGGGAAGAUGCCGGGUCUGCCUCUGUUUUUGGGGUGAUGUCUUGAACUUCCAGGUGGGAAGAAGCCGGGUCUACCUCUAGUUUUGGGGUGAUGUCUUGAACCUCCAGGUGGGAACAAGCCGGGUCUGCGUCUGUUUUUGGGGUGAUGUCCACAACCUCCAGGUGGGAACAAGCCGGGUCUGCGUCUGUUUUUGGGGUGAUGUCCACAACCUCCAGGUGGGAACAAGCCGGGUCUGCCUCUGUGUUAGGGGUGACUUUCACAAUCUCCAGGUGGAAAGAAGCCGGAUCUGCCUCUGUGUUAGUGGUGAUGUCCACAACAUUCAGGUGGGAAGACGCUGGGUCUGUGUCAUGGGUGACAACAACAAUCCUGAUGAGCUCUACUACUACUACACUAAGAUGUCAUCAGAACAGGCAUCUGUCAGAGUGCUCUCUAUCAUUGCUACUCACCUGCUUGGAUGUCAGCUGGUCGUGUAGUGGAGACGGCCACCGGGAGGACAGGGGGGACUGGUAGGGUGGAUGCAGGGGGCUGGAAGCGGCUCUGAACCUCGUUCGCCACAAAGGCACAGACAGAGCUCAUAUAAAAAGGGCUCUGGAGGUCAUCGGUGGAGAAGGACUGACUGAUUCUCCCGAGGAUCGACCGCACAGAGUCAAAAGCAGCAGCCCGAGAGAAAGGGAUGUGAGGGGAAGGGUCCUUUAACAUGCAGGAGAGCUUCUCCACUACGGCCGCCACCAUGCCCACGGCCAUCCCGCUUAUUAGGAUUGGGUGCUCUGAAUGGCCUUCCUCUGGUUGAAGCCACAGGGCCAGGAGGAGCCUGGGCACCACCUCCACCACCACCUGAGAUGGGCUGAGCAGGUUGCUACGGGGCUCAUUGGACUGCACGCCCAGAAUGCUCC